AGUCCUCUCUCCUGCGCCGCAUGCUGCCUCGCGCUCCCUUUCCUUCCCCCUCUACCCCCUUCCGCGAUUUACUGUUUCCUCGCGCCCAACAGAAAUGGGCGACCGCAAGUCUUACUCUCGCCGGCGUUACAAAGUGAGGAAAAAGACAAUUGUCUACAAAGAAAGAGGCUGCCAAGUGGAGACAGAAAAGCAGUUAUGAGACUGAUGAUAGAUUCCAAUUUGUUAUCGGUAGAAAGGAAGGAGGAGACCUGAACAGUACAUCCGGAGAAUCCAGCAAAGCAUACUACGGCAUGAACGUGCAAGUGGACAGAAUUAAAACACAUGCCAGAAACACUAAUGGAUUCUAAACAAGAUGCAGUUUCAUUUCCUGAGCCUAUACGUGAUGUUUUUAACUGUUCUCCAGUUAAUAUGUCUCCAUUUCCAGAAAUCUAACAGGAGAAUCUCUGACUGCUUAACAGAUCACCUAAGCUUGCGAUUUGUGCAAUCCUUUCUAGAGUAAGGGCUCCCCGGCUGCUCCCCGGCCACUGUGUACCCAAAGCAGCGGCUGAAAUAGCCCGGAGUCCAACAGCUCAGCGUCAAGCAGCUCGUGGUUUGUACUUACAUCAUUUUUUUUUUCAGAGCAAGAGUGAAAGUUUAUUAAAAAGCGUUAGAACAGUAAGGAAAGGAAAGGAGAGAAAAUAAGGAAAGUACAACUUGGAAGAGGGCCAAGCGGGCGACUUGAGAAAUCAAGUGCCUGUACUUACAUCAUUCUUAACCCUUUCGCUCCUGGAGGGGGCUCAGCGGGAUCAGGGGGCCCCUGAACUUCGGAACACGCAGGAC
rnacentral:lncRNA from 10 species